rnacentral:rRNA from 1 species
CAGUCGCCGCGGUAAUACGAAGGGGGCUAGCGUUGUUCGGAAUUACUGGGCGUAAAGCGCACGUAGGCGGCCAUCCAAGUUAGAUGUGAAAGCCCUGGGCUCAACCUAGGAAUUGCAUUUGAUACUGUUUGGCUUGAGUUCGGGAGAGGUGAGUGGAAUUCCCAGUGUAGAGGUGAAAUUCGUAGAUAUUGGGAAGAACACCAGUGGCGAAGGCGACAUACUGGUCCAUUACUGACGCUGAGGCUCGAAAGCGUGGGGAGCAAACAGGAUUAGAGACCCCCGUAGUCCCUGUCUCUUAUAC